rnacentral:rRNA from 1 species
GACGAACGCUGGCGGCGUGCUUAACACAUGCAAGUCGAAGGGGGCCCAGCAAUGGGCAACCGGCGAACGGGUGCGUAACACGUGAGCAACCUACCGAAAUGUGGGGGAUAGCCGGCCUAACGGCCGAGUAAUACCGCAUACGCUCUCGAUGAGGCAUUUCAUUGAGAGGAAACCUACGGGACAUUUCGAGGGGCUCGCGGCCUAUCAGCUAGUUGGCGAGGUAACGGCUCACCAAGGCAACGACGGGUAGCUGGUCUGAGAGGAUGGCCAGCCACAUUGGGACUGAGAUACGGCCCAGACUCCUACGGGAGGCAGCAGUGGGGAAUCUUGCGCAAUGGCCUAACGGCUGACG